AUGUCGCCCGCACUGCCAGAGCUGACGCCUUCCGCAGGUGUGAAGAAAAGCCUGCAGGAUGAGAUUGAAGCCAUUCUACGUGAGAGGAUCAUGGUGCUGGAUGGAGGGAUGGGGACCAUGAUCCAGCGGCAUAAGCUAAGUGAAGAAGACUUCCGAGGUCACGAAUUUCAAGAUCACGCCAGGCCGCUGAAAGGCAACAAUGACAUUUUAAGCAUAACUCAACCCAGUGUUAUUUACCAAAUCCAUAAGGAUUACUUGCUGGCUGGGGCAGAUAUCAUCGAAACAAACACUUUCAGCAGCACUAACAUUGCCCAAGCAGACUAUGGCCUCGAACACUUGGCCUACCGGAUGAACAAAUGCUCCGCGGGACUGGCCAGAAAGGCAGCCGAGGAGGUGUCCUUCCAGACAGGAAUUAAGAGGUUUGUGGCAGGAGCUCUGGGUCCAACUAAUAAGACACUGUCUGUGUCUCCGUCUGUGGAGAAACCAGAUUACAGGAACAUUACAUUUGAUGAACUCGUUGAAGCGUACCAAGAGCAGGCCAAAGGGCUUCUGGAUGGUGGGGCUGAUAUCUUACUCAUUGAAACUAUUUUUGAUACCGCCAAUGCCAAGGCAGCCUUGUUCGCACUCCAGACACUUUUUGAAGAGGAGUAUUCCCCCCGGCCUAUCUUCAUUUCAGGGACAAUUAUUGAUAAAAGUGGGCGAACUCUUUCCGGACAGAUGGGAGAGGCAUUUGUCAUCAGUGUGUCUCACGCAGACCCCCUCUGCAUUGGAUUAAACUGCGCUCUGGGUGCAGCUGAAAUGAGACCUUUUAUUGAAACAAUUGGAAAAUGUACAACAGCCUAUGUCCUCUGUUAUCCCAAUGCAGGUCUUCCCAACACGUUUGGUGACUACGAUGAGACUCCGCAUAUGAUGGCCACGCAACUAAAGGACUUUGCUAUGGAUGGCUUGGUCAAUAUAGUGGGUGGCUGCUGUGGUACGACUCCUGAUCACAUCAGGGAGAUUGCUAAAGCUGUGAGAAACUGUAAGCCUAGAGUUCCACCUGCCACUGUUUUUGAAGAGCAUAUGUUACUAUCUGGUCUAGAGCCCUUCAGGAUCGGACCGUACACCAACUUUGUUAACAUUGGAGAGCGCUGUAACGUGGCAGGAUCCAGGAGGUUUGCUAAACUCAUCAUGGCAGGAAACUAUGAAGAAGCGCUGAGUGUUGCCAAAGUGCAGGUGGAAAUGGGAGCGCAGGUGUUGGAUAUCAACAUGGAUGACGGCAUGCUGGACGGUUCCAGUGCAAUGACCAGAUUUUGCAACUUCAUUGCUUCCGAGCCCGAUAUUGCCAAGGUGCCCUUGUGCAUCGACUCUUCCAAUUUUGCUGUGAUUGAAGCCGGCUUGAAGUGCUGCCAGGGCAAGUGCAUUGUCAACAGCAUUAGCCUGAAGGAGGGAGAGGAAGACUUCUUGGAGAAGGCUAGAAAGAUUAAGAAGUUUGGAGCUGCUGUGGUGGUCAUGGCUUUUGAUGAAGAAGGGCAGGCGACAGAAACAGACACCAAAAUCAGCGUGUGCAUGCGGGCCUACCGUCUACUUGUGAAAAAACUGGGCUUUAAUCCAAAUGACAUCAUCUUUGACCCCAACAUCCUCACCAUUGGUACUGGGAUGGAAGAGCACAACUUGUAUGCUGUUAAUUUUAUCCGUGCAACAAAAAUCAUUAAAGAAACCCUACCUGGAGCCCGAGUAAGUGGAGGUCUUUCCAACUUGUCCUUCUCCUUCCGAGGAAUGGAAGCCAUUCGAGAAGCAAUGCAUGGGGUUUUCCUUUACCACGCAAUCAAGUUUGGUAUGGACAUGGGGAUAGUGAAUGCAGGAAACCUCCCUGUAUAUGACGAUAUCCACAAGGAGCUUCUCCAGCUCUGUGAAGAUCUCAUCUGGAACAAAGACCCCGAGGCCACUGAGAAGCUCCUGCGCUAUGCUCAGACGCAUGGCAAAGGAGGGAAGAAAGUCAUCCAGACUGAUGAGUGGAGGAAUGGCCCCAUUGAAGAACGCCUGGAGUACGCCCUUGUGAAGGGUAUCGAAAAAUAUAUUAUUGAGGACACUGAGGAAGCCAGGUUAAACCAGGAAAAAUAUCCCCGGCCUCUGAAUAUAAUCGAAGGGCCUCUGAUGAACGGCAUGAAAGUUGUCGGUGACCUCUUUGGAGCUGGAAAAAUGUUUCUACCUCAGGUUAUAAAGUCAGCUCGAGUCAUGAAGAAAGCUGUUGGCCACCUUAUUCCCUUCAUGGAGAAAGAAAGAGAAGAGAACAAAAUGCAUGCUGGCACAGAAGAAAAAGAGGACCCCUACCAGGGCACCAUUGUGUUGGCUACCGUGAAGGGCGACGUGCACGACAUAGGCAAGAACAUAGUUGGUGUGGUCCUUGGCUGCAAUAACUUCAGAGUUAUUGAUUUAGGGGUCAUGACUCCCUGUGACAAGAUCCUGAAAGCUGCUCUUGACCACAAAGCAGAUAUAAUUGGCCUAUCAGGACUCAUCACUCCUUCCCUGGAUGAAAUGAUUUUUGUUGCCAAGGAAAUGGAGAGAUUGGCUAUAAAGAUUCCACUGUUGAUCGGAGGAGCAACCACAUCCAGAACCCACACGGCAGUGAAAAUAGCUCCAAGAUACAGCGCACCUGUCAUCCACGUCCUGGAUGCAUCCAAGAGUGUGGUGGUGUGCUCGCAGCUGUUAGAUGAGAAUCUAAAGGAUGAAUUUUUUGAGGAGAUCCUGGAAGAAUAUGAAGAUAUUAGACAGGACCAUUAUGAGUCUCUCAAGGAGAGAAGAUACUUAACCUUAAGUCAAGCUAGAAAAAAUGGUUUCCAUAUUGACUGGCUGUCAGAGCCCCCUCCAGUGAAGCCCACAUUUCUUGGGACUCGGGUCUUCGAAGACUAUGACCUGCGGAAGCUGGUGGCCUACAUCGACUGGAAACCCUUCUUCGAUGUCUGGCAGCUCCGGGGCAAGUACCCGAAUCGAAGCUUUCCCAAGAUAUUUAAGGACAAAACUGUAGGUGAAGAGGCCAGAAAAGUCUAUGAUGAUGCCCAAAACAUGCUGGAAGUGCUGAUCAGUCAGAAGAAGCUCCGAGCCAGGGGCGUGGUGGGGUUUUGGCCGGCACAGAGCGUGGAAGACGACAUCCACCUGUACGCAGAGGGCGCCACGCCGCAGGCCGCAGAGCCCAUAGCUACCUUCCACGGGCUGAGGCAGCAGGCCGAGAAGGACUCUGCCAGCACGGACCCAUACCACUGCCUCUCGGACUUCAUCGCUCCACUGCAUUCUGGCGUCCGCGACUACCUGGGCCUGUUUGCUGUCGCCUGCUUCGGGGUGGAGGAGCUGAGCAAGGCCUACGAGCAGGAGUGUGACGACUACAGCAGCAUCAUGGUCAAGGCUCUGGGAGACCGGCUGGCUGAGGCCUUUGCGGAGGAGCUCCACGAGCGGGUCCGCCGGGAGCUGUGGGCCUACUGCAGCUGUGAGCAGCUGGAUGUCGCCGACCUGCGGCGGCUUCGAUACGAGGGUAUCCGGCCGGCUCCCGGCUACCCCAGCCAGCCCGACCACAGCGAGAAGCUCACCAUGUGGAAGCUUGCUGAUGUGGAGCGGUGCACGGGCAUUAGGUUAACGGAGUCCUUAGCAAUGGCACCUGCUUCAGCGGUAUCUGGCCUCUACUUCUCCAAUUUGAAGUCGAAAUACUUUGCAGUGGGGAAAAUUUCCAAGGAUCAGAUUGAGGACUACGCUGUGCGGAAGAACAUGUCCGUGGCCGAGGUUGAGAAAUGGCUGGGACCCAUUUUGGGAUACGACAUAGAAGAUAGAGACAGCCAGCGAGAGAGGGAACACAAGCAGGGGGAGUGGGAGAGGAAGAAGCAGGCUCAUGGCGGAGGAGCCUGACGUGGGGCUCGAUCCCAGAAUGCCAGGAUCACGCCCUGAGCCGAAGGCACACGCUUAACCACUAUGCCACCCAGGCGCCCCUGGAUUCACAUUUCACCUUUGCCACUGGCUGUGCGACGUGGGCACAUGGCUUCCACUCUCCAGCACUGUCUUCUCAUCUGUAAAAUGGGGACAGCGAUACCAGCUCCUCUGCCAUGGGCCUGAGGGGUGGACCACUGGGACCGGGACAGGGAAGCCGCCUUCGUGUCCUGUGAACCAUCUGCACUCACUCCCUCGUCUCUCGUGGUCCAAGCAGUCCUAGCAGAUGUGCCUUCAAGUGCAUUGGAGGCAAAGGGAAAAAACCUGACGAGAAGGACAACUCUGUGCGUCUGCAGUGUAUCUGCGUGGACGUAGAGAGUGACGGGCCUUUCAGCCAUCGCUGCCUUGAAGCGAACGCAGCCGUGAGGUACAGUCAGUCUGUGCGUGAGCGAGAACGGGACUCGGUUUCCUGAGACACUCGGGGGAGUCUCUCAGAGGGAGACUUCUUUUCUGUUCCGUAACAAGUGUGUUGGUAUUGGUACAUUGUUCUGUGAGAAAGAGUAAGCUCCUCCGAAUAUCUGAAUGUAUUUCGUCGGAAUUAGAGUUGCCUAGAGUCUCCUGAUUUCAUUAUUUACCAUCUCUUCCCUCAGCCAGUUAUGUGACAGAAUGGCUUCCUUAUAUGUACUGUUCAUCUGACCCCACGCGGGAUGCCUUUUUUUCCAAAGACAGACACAGUCAUGCAAGUUCAGGCACAUAUAUAUUUAUGAAAGAAUAUAAAAUAUAAGUUGAAAACCCCUCCCUUAUGUAUGUCACACACUUGGAAGGCGGGUAGGUGGCCGUUCUGAACGCGGGGUCUCUUCUGUGUCGGUGCCUGUCCAUGCAGAGCCUGUUCUGGGCGUCACUGUCUGGGGCUGUCGCAUGAACCCACUCGCUGUUGUCAUUUUUGCUGAGGAUCCCAUGUUGUUCUUCCCUCUGAAGCAGCGCUGGUUUGGGUCUCCCUCUCUCUGCUGCUCGCUGUGCUGUCCGCUCUGAGGAGUCUGGUUUGUGGGAUGGUGGGGAGAUGGGGUGUAUGACACCCCAUUUCUUCUCUGAGAUAUUCUCCUGUGUCCUCCCUGCGCUCACAGCUGAACUCACGUAGACAAUAGUCCACCUUCUUUCUGUCCCCCCACCUGCCCUUGAACAGAUACUGAGUGUCUGCUGUGUGCCCCCCACCUUCUCCCCCUUUCUCUCCUGAACCCAGUGAGUUAGGUUUUUACCUGCCUCUUCUGGCAUCCGUGACCUCUCAGAGGUCAGACCCCGUGGCCUUCCCAGUGAUUGUCCUCUGCGUGGCCUUGGACAGCACAGACCCACUUCUUCAGAACUCUCCUUUCCCUGCUUACGCCUUGGCAUAACUCUCUGGUUAUCCUUCUGUGUUUGUGAUAAUUUCUCAGCCAUUUUCAUAGUUUUUUUUCCUCUGUCCAUUUAAAUCCUGGUGUCAGGGGCCUGUCAUUAGUGACGUCCUUAGCACGUGUAGUUUCAGUGGGUGAUCUCGCUGACUCCACAUCCCCAUCUAAGCUCUGUCCUGAAGAGCUCAGCAUACAUCCAACAGCCCCUUCCAGGCGGACAGGCGGACAUCUCAGACCCAGUGUGUCUCGUCUUGUUCCUCUCCAGUCGUGAAAUUCAGUCAUGAAGAAUGGUGCCACCACUGCUUGACGAAACCUCACACUCAGCCUGUAUCAUCUUUGGCUUAGACUAGUGCAGGGGUCUGAAAAGUUAGCGCAUGAAGGACACACUUAGCCUACUUUAGUUGGGGUGGCGGUAGAGACACUGGGGAAGGCAGUGCUUCGGUGAAGGCCUGAUGUGGGACUGGAGGGAUCAGGAUGAAGAAGCAAGGUAGGAGCAAAUGAAGAGCUGUCUUUGUUCAUGACCGGGAGUAUGAAGGGUUGUAGAGGUAUCAGAUCUCCCCAAACUGACCUGUAGGUUCAGUGCCAUUUCCAACAGAAAUUUCAGGAGAGGUUGUGUUCAGUGUGAUAAGCAGAUAUUUAAAUUUAUUUGGAAUAGCAAAGGGCUAAGAGUGGCUUAGUGCUUCCAGAUGCGAAGAAGAGGUUACGAGGUAGUAGGUUUUGUUGUAUGUGGUGCAGAGGCGGGCAUUCCGAACGGUACCGUGAACUGAGGCCCCAGAAGGUGAGACGUGCGUGUGUUGACCUUUACGACACGGCACAUCUGGGAGGAGAGGCGGGGUGACUGCACACGGGGUGCUGGAACCAUGCUUAUCUGAAGGGAAAGGUGAAAUUUGGUUUCUGCCUCACGUGUUAUGCAGCUAUCAAUUCCAAAUAUAUUAAGGUCUUAAAUAAAAAAUAAUAAUAAUUUCAAUGUUUGUGUGGACAAGCCUUAGGGCAGGAAAUAAUCCCUCGAGACAUAAAGCACUAACCACAAUGAAAAGAUGAUUAAAUCAACUGUUUUUUAAGGCUGAUGUUAAGCCAAGAAGCAAUUUAAAGUAGUGAAAAGACAAGCCAUGACUUGAGAUAUUUGUAAUACACUUAAUUGACAAACGAUUAGUAAGCAGAAUAGAUAGAGAAUUCCUGUUUAAGAAAAAAAAGGGAGGGGCACCUGGGUGGCUCAGUCGUUAAGCGGUUGCCUUCGGCUCAGGGCGCGAUCCCAGGGU